GCUAGGUGAAAUAGAGAAGUUGCCAGAGGACUUCUGGGAAAAAACAUUUGAAAAGGAAGGACUGAAAAGAGAAGAAAUGGGCACAACGGGGACUCCGGGUCUGGCCAUAACAGCCAGGAGAAACAAGGGCUUAAGCCAGGAGGUCUGAAAAGAGAACAGAAGGUAGACCACCUAGAAUGGGGACAAGGCACUUCCACUCUGCAAAGGUGAGUGUGCUUGCAGUGCAAAGCAAGAAACGUGAACUUUAAAAUUCUUCAGGCACAUGUGUUCAAAAGGCAAAGAUACAUGAGAAUGCAAGAUGAAAAACUCCAGCGCAAGAUCAGGCUUUUUAAACUGCCACAGCUCCCCUGUCUCCCCAGCUAGCUUCUAUUCGCCUUCCCAGGCUCCUAAGCCCAGUGACAGGAGAGACUCUGGAAUGAUCAGAGAUUCUGGAAUGAAAAGAGCUAUGCCCACUGCUUAGGAGGCCAAGGAUUCUGCAAACUGAUCCCCGCAGAUACCACAGCGCUUUACUCUGGUCUCCAAGGCCAUGGCACACCCUAAAAGAUUAAAAUGCCUUAAGGUAAAUGACCAUUCCCAGAUGAAGGCACAGAAU
rnacentral:lncRNA from 1 species